GAUGAACGCUGGCGGCGUGCCUAAUACAUGCAAGUCGAGCGAACAGAUGAGAAGCUUGCUUCUCUGAUGUUAGCGGCGGACGGGUGAGUAACACGUGAGUAACCUACCUAUAAGACUGGGAUAACUCCGGGAAACCGGGGCUAAUACCGGAUAAUAUUUUGAACCGCAUGGUUCAAUAGUGAAAGACGGUUUCGGGUGUCACUUAUAGAUCGACCCGCGCCGUAUUAGCUAGUUGGUAAGGUAACGGCUUACCAAGGCGACGAUACGUAGCCGACCUGAGAGGGUGAUCGGCCACACUGGAACUGAGACGCGGUCCAGACUCCUACGGGAGGCAGCAGUAGGGAAUCUUCCGCAAUGGGCGAAAGCCUGACGGAGCAACGCCGCGUGAGUGAUGAAGGUCUUCGGAUCGUAAAACUCUGUUGUUAGGGAAGAACAAAUUUGUUAGUAACUGAACAAGUCUUGACGGUACCUAACCAGAAAGCCACGGCUAACUACGUGCCAGCCGCCGCUGUAA
rnacentral:rRNA from 1 species